rnacentral:rRNA from 1 species
UAGGGAAUCUUCCGCAACGGGCGAAAGCCUGACGGAGCAACGCCGCGUGAGUGAUGAAGGUCUUCGGAUCGUAAAAUUCUGUUAUUAGGGAAGAACAAAUGUGUAAGUAACUAUGCACGUCUUGACGGUACCUAAUCAGAAAGCCACGGCUAACUACGUGCCAGCAGCCGCGGUAAUACGUAGGUGGCAAGCGUUAUCCGGAAUUAUUGGGCGUAAAGCGCGCGUAUGCGGUUUUUUAAGUCUGAUGUGAAAGCCCACGGCUAAACCGUGGAGGGUCAUUGGGAACUGGAAAACUUGAGUGCAGAAGAGGAAAGUGGAAUUCAAUGUGUAGCGGUGAAAUGCGCAGAGAUAUGGAGGAACACCAGUGGCGAAGGCGACUUUCUGGUCUGUAACUGACGCUGAUGUGCGAAAGCGUAGGGAUCAAACAGG